rnacentral:rRNA from 1 species
GACGAACGCUGGCGGCGUGCUUAACACAUGCAGGUCGAACGGAAAGGCCCUGCUUUUGUGGGGUGCUCGAGUGGCGAACGGGUGAGUAACACGUGAGUAACCUGCCCUUGACUUUGGGAUAACUUCAGGAAACUGGGGCUAAUACCGGAUAGGAGCUCCUGCUGCAUGGUGGGGGUUGGAAAGUUUCGGCGGUUGGGGAUGGACUCGCGGCUUAUCAGCUUGUUGGUGGGGUAGUGGCUUACCAAGGCUUUGACGGGUAGCCGGCCUGAGAGGGUGACCGGCCACAUUGGGACUGAGAUACGGCCCAGACCCCUACGGGAGGCAGCAGUGGGGAAUAUUGCACAAUGGGCGGAAGCCUGAUGCAGCAACGCCGCGUGCGGGAUGACGGCCUUCGGGUUGUAAACCGCUUUCGCCUGUGACGAAGCGUGAGUGACGGUAAUGGGUAAAGAAGCACCGGCUAACUACGUG